rnacentral:misc_RNA from 1 species
GAUGAAGAACGUAGCGAAAUGCGAUAAGUAAUGUGAAUUGCAGAAUUCAGUGAAUCAUCGAAUCUUUGAACGCACAUUGCGCCCCUUGGUAUUCCGAGGGGCAUGCCUGUUCGAGCGUCAUUAUAACCCCUCAAGCUCAGCUUGGUGUUGGGGCCUGCUGCACUGGCAGCCCUUAAAAUCAGUGACGGCGCCAUCUGGCUCUAAGCGUAGUAAUUCUUCUCGCUAUGGAGUCCUGGUGGAUGCUUGCCAUCAACCCCCAAUUUUUCUAUGGUUGACCUCGGAUCAGGUAGGGAUACCCGCUGAACUUAAGCAUAUCAAUAAGCGGAGGA